GUGAGACUACAGAGCCCGGGGACGACAUGGGGGAAACGGCUGCUAAUACCGGAUGUGCCAAAAGGUAAAAGGCUUGCUGCCUGAAGAUGAGCUCGCGUCUGAUUAGCUAGUAGGUGUGGUAAGAGCGCACCUAGGCGACGAUCAGUAGCUGGUCUGAGAGGACGAUCAGCCACACUGGGACUGAGACACGGCCCAGACUCCUACGGGAGGCAGCAGUGGGGAAUUUUCCGCAAUGGGCGAAAGCCUGACGGAGCAAUACCGCGUGAGGGAGGAAGGCUCUUGGGUUGUAAACCUCUUUUCUCAGGGAAGAAUGCAAUGACGGUACCUGAGGAAUAAGCAUCGGCUAACUCCGUGCCAGCAGCCGCGGUAAUACGGAGGAUGCAAGCGUUAUCCGGAAUGAUUGGGCGUAAAGCGUCCGCAGGUGGCAAUGAAAGUCUGCUGUUAAAGAGUGAGGCUCAACCUCAUAAAAGCGGUGGAAACUACAUAGCUAGAGUACGUUCGGGGCAGAGGGAAUUCCUGGUGUAGCGGUGAAAUGCGUAGAGAUCAGGAAGAACACCGGUGGCGAAAGCGCUCUGCUAGGCCUGUACUGACACUGAGGGACGAAAGCUAGGGGAGCGAAUGGGAUUAGAUACCCCAGUAGUCCUAGGGGAAGGGGGUAAAAAACCGGAAAAAGAG
rnacentral:rRNA from 1 species